UGGGGAAUAUUGCACAAUGGAGGGAACUCUGAUGCAGCGACGCCGCGUGAGUGAAGAAGUAAUUCGUUAUGUAAAGCUCUAUCAGCAGGGAAGAAAGUGACGGUACCUGAGAAAGAAGCUCCGGCUAAAUACGUGCCAGCAGCCGCGGUAAUACGUAUGGAGCAAGCGUUAUCCGGAUUUACUGGGUGUAAAGGGAGAGUAGGUGGCAGAGCAAGUCCGAAGUGAAAACCCAAAGCUCAACUAUGGGAAUGCUUUAGAAACUGCUCAGCUAGAGUGCAGGAGAGGCAAGUGGAAUUCUUAGUGUAGCGGUGAAAUGCGUAGAUAUUAGGAGGAACACCAGUGGCGAAGGCGGCUUGCUGGACUGUAACUGACACUGAGGCUCGAAAGCGUGGGGAGCAAACAGG
rnacentral:rRNA from 1 species